UAUACCAGCAGAGAAUAUGUCCUCUUUAUUUUUUUCAUACCUGUACCAAAUUUUGUUUCCAAAUUGAAGUUACAGUCAAGACUGAAUAGACAUGAUGAAUGGGAAAUUAACUGCACAAAUCAAGCAAUCAGCGCUGGCACCUGGAGGGGCGGAGGUUGUUAAGUUCAUCUUGGGGAGAAGAGAGCUGGAGUACAAUGUAUCACUCAUUUUGCAUUUGUCAUGAGGAAAUACACAGCAUUACACAGCCUACACAGCCAUAGACAAGGCUGCAAAUUCCACAUUUUGCAGUGGUGGUGACAGGGAGGUGAUACCUGUGGGGCUGUGUAUAUGAGAAAGAUUCCUGUGUAAAUGCUCCCACAGACUGGAAUCCCAACUGACGGAUGAAUAAAUUGGAGUAAAAGAGAUGAUUUUGACUGUGUUUUUCCAAAGAAGGAGGUCUUUAGCACAACUCUUCAU